rnacentral:rRNA from 1 species
GAUGAGCGCUGGCGGCGUGCUUAACACAUGCAAGUCGAACGAUGAAGCCCAGCUUGCUGGGUGGAUUAGUGGCGAACGGGUGAGUAACACGUGAGUAACCUGCCCUUAACUCUGGGAUAAGCCUGGGAAACUGGGUCUAAUACCGGAUAGGAGCGUCCACCGCAUGGUGGGUGUUGGAAAGAUUUAUCGGUUUUGGAUGGACUCGCGGCCUAUCAGCUUGUUGGUGAGGUAAUGGCUCACCAAGGCGACGACGGGUAGCCGGCCUGAGAGGGUGACCGGCCACACUGGGACUGAGACACGGCCCAGACUCCUACGGGAGGCAGCAGUGGGGAAUAUUGCACAAUGGGCGCAAGCCUGAUGCAGCGACGCCGCGUGAGGGAUGACGGCCUUCGGGUUGUAAACCUCUUUCAGUAGGGAAGAAGCGAAAGUGACGGUACCUGCAGAAGAAGCACCGGCUAACUACGUG